GUUCAUCAAUGAGCGAGGGCGUCGGUCACCAACCGUGGGUGGUCCAUUGAACUAUAAAUAACUGGAAGGCUCAGUCAGGGGGGGUGAGUUGAAGCCGUGCUUGAACCUUUUUUUGUAGGUAGACCCAGUCCUUUUUAAUUUUUUUUUUAAAUAUGCACAUUUUUUGAUCAGAAAAAUCUUGCCCCAAAAUAUUAGUUAUACUACCAA